AUAUUCUUAUCGAUUAUAAAUAGAUACAUAAGUGUUCGUAACCAUUCAAAUAUAUAGAUAAUCAAUGGCUAAGUCCCAAGUUUACUUCCUUGUCUUUCUUUCCUGCUUCCUUCUCAUUACAAGUAUAAUCGCUCAAAUGGAACUAGAACUCGAUCCACCACCUAUCGCAUGUGUAGAUCAAGUCAGCACUUCAUCAGAGGGAAGUUGUUUUAAUUGUGAUUUCAAUUGCAAAAACAAUGAGGAUGCUUCUGAUGGAAUUUGUCAAUUUGGAGUUUGUUAUUGCAGGAUUUGUUCUACCGCUAUUCAUAAACCUUAGUAGGGAAAUUUAUUUAAUGGACCAUCGACUUCAAUUUGUUUGGGAUUAAAAUCGACAUUAGUUACUACCAUAAUAAUAAUGCCAAAUUUCAGAGAUUUAACUUUUCUCUAUGUUUUGCUCUGUAACACUUAUUUUCCUGUGGUUUAAGAUUUGAUGUUUGGUCUAA